UUCACUGAAAUCAAAUUUGAUGUGCAAAUCAAAGCAGAAACUGAACCUAAUCAGAUGGAUUCAUUAGAAGUUCAACACACCUAAUAACAUCUCUCUUUUAUAUUGGCUCCUUUUAGCCUGUUUCCUUGGCAGUUAGAGAACUCUGAGAUGAGAGACUUUCUCUCCCAGAAGAUAUUUUUUGUUGCUCUGUGUCUGAAGCCCAAACACGUCCUCUGCAGCUGCAUUAUAACAAAAACAAGCCAAACAUUCCAGUGGAUCAGCGACUGCUGCAAGGACAAGAAGAAAUAGAAACGGCCUAAAACUUGAACAUAGGAAAUUCCAGAUGAACAUGAAGAACAACUUUACAGUAAGGAUGAUGGAGCAUUAGAAGAGGCCACCCAUAGAGGCUGUGGAGUCUCUUCCUCUGUGCAAGCAACAGUGGAGAACUGCUUAAUUAGACCUCCCUCCCACAAAAAACUACAAAACCUAAUUAUAUUCCUGUGGUUUUAGGUGUCCUAUACUGCUCUAAAAACAAAACAAAAGGCACUUCUGCUAUUAAGACAUAAUGGGCAAAGGCUACAAUGCAGGUAAACACAGAAAAUAGUGGAUUUGCCUCAGAAAUUUUUGUAGAUAGAUUAAUUGCAUAUUUAACUCUGUAAAAAAAGUAAUUACGAAGAUUUGAUCAUGUCUUCAAGUUUGAGAUGUCCAACGUAUGCAAAGCUGGCACCUAAUAUUUCAGCUACCUAGCAGAUGUUGAUGUGGUAACUAUGAGUACUUAUCCACUAAAAAAUAUUCUUAUACUCAAUAUGCAGUAUAUUUGAGUAAUAAAAAUCAGAACCACAUUUUA